rnacentral:rRNA from 1 species
UACCAGCACCCCGAGUGGUCGGGACGUUUUAUUGGGCCUAAAGCAUCCGUAGCCGGUUCUACAAGUCUUCCGUUAAAUCCACCUGCUUAACAGAUGGGCUGCGGAAGAUACUAUAGAGCUAGGAGGCGGGAGAGGCAAGCGGUACUUAGUGGGUAGGGGUAAAAUCCGUUGAUCCAUUGAAGACCACCAGUGGCGAAGGCGGCUUGCCAGAACGCACUCGACGGUGAGGGAUGGAAAGCUGGGGGAGCAAACCGGG